ACGGAAGGUCCGGGCGUUAUCCGGAUUCAUUGGGUUUAAAGGGAGCGUAGGCCGCGCGUCAAGCGUGCCGUGAAAUGCCGUGGCUCAACCAUGGCACCGCGGCGCGAACUGUCGCGCUUGAGUGGGCUCGAGGCAGGCGGAAUUCGUGGUGUAGCGGUGAAAUGCUUAGAUAUCACGAGGAACCCCGAUUGCGAAGGCAGCCUGCCAGCGCCGCACUGACGCUGAAGCUCGAAGGCGUGGGUAUCGAACAG
rnacentral:rRNA from 1 species